rnacentral:lncRNA from 1 species
GAGAGCAAUGAAAUAAAUAAAUAAGCCCGGCAGCACCAAUGAGCGCGGCAGAGCCGGCGGCGGCCGGAGCGGGGCUGGCUCCUUCGCCUGCCUCUGCCUGAAGCCGCAAAGUUCAGACCCAAACGUGUUGCGCCGCCGCCUGCUGCCGCCACCUGCUCCAACGCCCCGAGGAAGGCGGGCGGGCGAGGAGCUGCAGCUGCGUCGCCUCCCGCCUGGCUUGCCUGGACCGGCCGGGAGACGGCAGGCAGAUCUUACAUUUCCUCAAGAGAAUAAUAGAAGGCCUUAAGGAAAAAAAAAUCAAUCUGGGUUACCAGACUGAGCUGUUCUUCAGACAUGAGGGACUGAGACGAGAUACUGGACUCGAUGGACCAAACUCUUAUCUGAAAUUUGUGAUUCUUGUGUGGCGUUAA